rnacentral:rRNA from 1 species
UGGGGAAUUUUGGACAAUGGGCGCAAGCCUGAUCCAGCCAUGCCGCGUGCGGGAAGAAGGCCUUCGGGUUGUAAACCGCUUUUGUCAGGGAAGAAAAGGUUCUGGCUAAUACCUGGGACUCAUGACGGUACCUGAAGAAUAAGCACCGGCUAACUACGUGCCAGCAGCCGCGGUAAUACGUAGGGUGCAAGCGUUAAUCGGAAUUACUGGGCGUAAAGCGUGCGCAGGCGGUUAUGCAAGACAGAGGUGAAAUCCCCGGGCUCAACCUGGGAACUGCCUUUGUGACUGCAUAGCUAGAGUGCGGCAGAGGGGGAUGGAAUUCCGCGUGUAGCAGUGAAAUGCGUAGAUAUGCGGAGGAACACCGAUGGCGAAGGCAAUCCCCUGG